rnacentral:rRNA from 1 species
GUCCACGCCGUAAACGAUGGAUACUAGCUGUUGGGCGCAAGUUCAGUGGCUAAGCGAAAGUGAUAAGUAUCCCACCUGGGGAGUACGAACGCAAGUUUGAAACUCAAAGGAAUUGACGGGGGCCCGCACAAGCGGUGGAGCAUGUGGUUUAAUUCGAUGAUACGCGAGGAACCUUACCAAGGCUUAAAUGUAGAUUGACCAGUUUGGAAACAGACUUUUCGCAAGACAAUUUACAAGGUGCUGCAUGGUUGUCGU